UUGAACGCUGGCGGCAGGCCUAACACAUGCAAGUCGAGCGGUAGCACAGAGAGCUUGCUCUCGGGUGACGAGCGGCGGACGGGUGAGUAAUGUCUGGGAAACUGCCUGAUGGAGGGGGAUAACUACUGGAAACGGUAGCUAAUACCGCAUAAUGUCGCAAGACCAAAGUGGGGGACCUUCGGGCCUCAUGCCAUCAGAUGUGCCCAGAUGGGAUUAGCUAGUAGGUGGGGUAACGGCUCACCUAGGCGACGAUCCCUAGCUGGUCUGAGAGGAUGACCAGCCACACUGGAACUGAGACACGGUCCAGACUCCUACGGGAGGCAGCAGUGGGGAAUAUUGCACAAUGGGCGCAAGCCUGAUGCAGCCAUGCCGCGUGUGUGAAGAAGGCCUUCGGGUUGUAAAGCACUUUCAGCGGGGAGGAAGGCGUUAAGGUUAAUAACCUUGGCGAUUGACGUUACCCGCAGAAGAAGCACCGGCUAACUCCGUGCCAGCAGCCGCGGUAAUACGGAGGGUGCAAGCGUUAAUCGGAAUUACUGGGCGUAAAGCGCACGCAGGCGGUCUGUCAAGUCGGAUGUGAAAUCCCCGGGCUCAACCUGGGAACUGCAUUCGAAACUGGCAGGCUAGAGUCUUGUAGAGGGGGGUAGAAUUCCAGGUGUAGCGGUGAAAUGCGUAGAGAUCUGAAGGAAUACCGGUGGUGAAGGCGGCGCCCUGGACAAAGACUGACGCUCAGGUGAGAAAGCUUGGGGGGCAAACAGAAUUAGUUACCCUGGUAGUCCACGCCGUAAACGAUGUCGAUUUGGAGGUUGUGCCCUUGAGGCGUGGCUUCCGGAGCUAACGCGUUAAAUCGACCGCCUGGGGAGUACGGCCGCAAGGUUAAAACUCAAAUGAAUUGACGGGGGCCCGCACAAGCGGUGGAGCAUGUGGUUUAAUUCGAUGCAACGCGAAGAACCUUACCUGGUCUUGACAUCCACAGAACUUUCCAGAGAUGGAUUGGUGCCUUCGGGAACUGUGAGACAGGUGCUGCAUGGCUGUCGUCAGCUCGUGUUGUGAAAUGUUGGGUUAAGUCCCGCAACGAGCGCAACCCUUAUCCUUUGUUGCCAGCGGUUCGGCCGGGAACUCAAAGGAGACUGCCAGUGAUAAACUGGAGGAAGGUGGGGAUGACGUCAAGUCAUCAUGGCCCUUACGACCAGGGCUACACACGUGCUACAAUGGCAUAUACAAAGAGAAGCGACCUCGCGAGAGCAAGCGGACCUCAUAAAGUAUGUCGUAGUCCGGAUUGGAGUCUGCAACUCGACUCCAUGAAGUCGGAAUCGCUAGUAAUCGUAGAUCAGAAUGCUACGGUGAAUAUGUUCCCGGGCCUUGUACACACCGCCCGUCACACCAUGGGAGUGGGUUGCAAAAGAAGUAGGUAGCUUAACCUUCGGGAGGGCGCUUACCACUUUGUGAUUCAUGACUGGGGUG
rnacentral:rRNA from 1 species